ACUGCGAGUGANGAGGGAAANGCUCAAAUUUUAAAUCUGUUAGGUUUACCUAACCGAGUUGUAAUUUGAAGAAGCGUUUUCUGCGAAUUUGGUUAGUCCAAAUCCUUUGGAAUAAGGUAUCAUGGAGGGUGAGAAUCCCGUUCGGUUAACCAAAGCGCUUUACGAUACGCUUUCAAAGAGUCAAGUUGUUUGGGAUUGCAGCUUAAAAUGGGAGGUAAAUUUCUCCUAAGGCUAAAUAUUGGCGAGAGACCGAUAGCGAACAAGUACCGUGAGGGAAAGAUGAAAAGAACUUUGAAAAGAGAGUUAAACAGUACGUGAAAUUGUUGAAAGGGAAACGAUUAAAGUCAGUCGUACCUACGAGUAAUCAACCUACUCGAGUGCGAUUUUGUGGGUAUGUUAGAGUUUAAACCUUCAUGCUUACAAAUUGGUGCUCUUUGGGCGUACUUUCUCGUAUGGUAGGUUAACAUCAAUUUCGAUCGUUAUAAAAUGACUGGAGGAAUGUAGCUUCGACCUCGGUUGAAGUGUUAUAGCCUUUGGUAGAUGUAAUGAUUGGGAUUGAGGAUUGCAACGGAUACCCUCUGGGCUAUUCGUCUGAUCUCUGGAAGUUACCUUGGUGUCGAAAGCGUGCUUACGAUAUUAAGGUUGACGGCCAAUAGGUUAGAACGUGAUUAAUUCGUAA
rnacentral:rRNA from 1 species